rnacentral:tRNA from 1 species
GCCUGGGUGGCUCAGUCGAUUAAGUGCCCGACUUCAGCUCAGGUCAUGAUCUUGCAGUCCGUGGGUUCGAGCCCCGCAUCAGGCU